CACGUAGGGUGCGAGCGUUGUCCGGAAUUAUUGGGCGUAAAGAGCUCGUAGGCGGUGUGUCGCGUCGGCCGUGAAAACCUGCAGCUUAACUGUGGGCUUGCGGUCGAUACGGGCAUCACUGGAGUUCGGCAGGGGAGACUGGAAUUCCCGGUGUAGUGGUGAAAUGCGUAGAUAUCGGGAGGAACACCAGUGGCGAAGGCGACUUCCUGGCCUGUUCUUGACGCUGAGGCGCGAAAGCUAGGGGAGCAAACGGG
rnacentral:rRNA from 1 species